rnacentral:lncRNA from 1 species
GCUUCAUGAAUUUCUGAUAUUUAGCACACGAAUUAAUAGUAUAAAUUGUAUGUGAAAAACCAUCAUUAUUGGUAUCGAGACCACUCCCUUAAAACAAAAUUCCCCUACUAUACAAUUGUAUUUUGCAACUAAAAAAUAAUUAUAAAAAUCUCUUUGUUCAUGCACCAAAAACAAUAGAGUGGAACUCCUAAAAAAACCCAAAAUAAAAGAAAAAAAAACAUUUAACGGCAAGAA